rnacentral:rRNA from 1 species
UCCUACGGGAGGCAGCAGUGGGGAAUAUUGCACAAUGGGCGAAAGCCUGAUGCAGCAACGCCGCGUGAGUGAUGAAGGCCUUCGGGUUGUAAAGCUCUGUCUUCUGGGACGAUAAUGACGGUACCAGAGGAGGAAGCCACGGCUAACUACGUGCCAGCAGCCGCGGUAAUA